rnacentral:rRNA from 1 species
AUUGAACGCUGGCGGCAGGCCUAACACAUGCAAGUCGAACGAGUGGCGGACGGGUGAGUAAUGUCUGGGCAACUGCCCGAUGGAGGGGGAUCACUACUGGAAACGGUAGCUAAUACCGCAUACCAUCGGAUGUGCCCAGAUGGGAUUAGCUAGUAGGGGGGGUAACGGCUCACCUAGGCGACUAACCCUAGCUGGUCUGAGAGGAGGACCAGCCACACUGGAACUGAGACACGGUCCAGACUCCUACGGGAGGCAGCAGUGGGGAAUAGUGGACAAUGGGCGCAAGCCUGAUGCAGCCAUGCCGCGUGUAUGAAGAAGGCCUUCGGAUUGUAAAGCACUUGAAGCGGGGAGGCGUUACCAGCAGAAGAAGCACCGGCUAACUCCGUGCCAGCAGCCGCGGUAAUUC